rfam:Myotis brandtii contig314515, whole genome shotgun sequence.
GGCAGUUCUCGGGAGAUGCACCCUGGAAUUGGGCUCCCUCUUAUCUGGUUCUAGGGUGCAUGACCUGAGAACCGCC